rnacentral:rRNA from 1 species
CCUAUGGGAGGCAGCAGUGAGGAAUAUUGGUCAAUGGACGAGAGUCUGAACCAGCCAAGUCGCGUGAAGGAUGACUGCCCUAUGGGUUGUAAACUUCUUUUAUAUGGGAAUAAAAUGUUCCACGUGUGGGAUUUUGUAUGUACCCUAUGAAUAAGGAUCGGCUAACUCCGUGCCAGCAGCCGCGGUAAUACGGAGGAUCCGAGCGUUUUCCGGAUUUAUUGGGUUUAAAGGGAGCGUAGGUGGAUUGUUAAGGCAGUUGUGAAAGUUUGGGGCUCAACCGUAAAAUUGCAGUUGAAACUGGCAGUCUUGAGUACAGGAGAGGUAGGCGGAAUUCGUGGUGUAGCGGUGAAAUGCUUAGAUAUCACGAAGAACUCCGAUUGCGAAGGCAGUUCACUGGACUGCAACUGACGCUGAGGCUCGAAAGUGUGGGUAUCGAACAGGAUUAGAUACCCGAGUAGUC